rnacentral:rRNA from 2 species
GUGGGUAACCUGCCCAUAAGACUGGGAUAACUCCGGGAAACCGGGGCUAAUACCGGAUAACAUUUUGAACCGCAUGGUUCGAAAUUGAAAGGCGGCUUCGGCUGUCACUUAUGGAUGGACCCGCGUCGCAUUAGCUAGUUGGUGAGGUAACGGCUCACCAAGGCAACGAUGCGUAGCCGACCUGAGAGGGUGAUCGGCCACACUGGGACUGAGACACGGCCCAGACUCCUACGGGAGGCAGCAGUAGGGAAUCUUCCGCAAUGGACGAAAGUCUGACGGAGCAACGCCGCGUGAGUGAUGAAGGCUUUCGGGUCGUAAAACUCUGUUGUUAGGGAAGAACAAGUGCUAGUUGAAUAAGCUGGCACCUUGACGGUACCUAACCAGAAAGCCACGGCUAACUACGUGCCAGCAGCCGCGGUAAUACGUAGGUGGCAAGCGUUAUCCGGAAUUAUUGGGCGUAAAGCGCGCGCAGGUGGUUUCUUAAGUCUGAUGUGAAAGCCCACGGCUCAACCGUGGA